AGAGAGAGACAUGCGCGCAUAUCAAUAAGCGGAGGAAAAGAAACUAACUAGGAUUCCCUCAGUAACGGCGAGUGAAGCGGGAAGAGCUCAAAUUUGAAAUCUUCAAGGGUUCUACCUUGACGAAUUGUAGUUUAUAGAAGUGUUUUCUGUUAGAGAGUUUGGUAAAAGUUCUUUGGAAUAGGACAUCAUAGAGGGUGAGAAUCCCGUAUUUGACACUUCUUUCUAGCUUUGUGAUACACUUUCAAAGAGUCGGAUUGUUUGGGAAUGCAGUCCAAAAUGGGUGGUAAAUUUCAUCUAAAGCUAAAUACUUGGCGAGAGACCGAUAGCGAACAAGUACCGUGAGGGAAAGAUGAAAAGAACUUUGAAAAGAGAGUUAAACAGUACGUGAAAUUGUCAAAAGGGAAGCGUUUGACACCAGUGUUGUUUUCUCGAAAAUCAAUUAAAAAUGGCGGAUUUUGUGUUGUAUUGACUUUAUCAGCUUUCUGCACUUUUUUCCUGUCUUUUUUAAUGCACUUUUCGUUUAACAAGUCAACAUCAAUUUCUUUUGUUGUAAAAGGGUCAUAGGAAGGUGGCUUUCUUUUCGGAGAAAGUGUUUAUAGCCUUUGACUUCUGCAAUCGGAGAGAUUGAGGUCUGCAGCGUAGAUCCUUCGGGGUUAGAUACAUUUGUGCUAAGUUAUAGCCUUUCAUAGACAACUUGUUGACUAUGAUCAGUCAUGUAGCUUACUCGCUUAUGCUAUUUUACCUACGCUUAGGAUGUUGACAGCAGUAUAGACUGU
rnacentral:rRNA from 1 species